CUUUUCACCUUGGGAAGGAGGUCUCUUUACUUUUUAUUUGAAAAGGAAUUGUUUUUAUUGUUUUCCUAAAGCUGGAGAGUGAAGGAAGCCAUCCUUGAGGAGUCAAGAUAAACUUCGGAUGUAAGUUCUGCCGUUUGUAGUGGCCUGGGCUCCCUCUGGGUGGAAUGUUUCACCAGGCAUUGUGAGAAGAGGAGAGCGGGAUUCUGACCCAGGCGCUGCUGCUGGAGGCUCUGUGACACCCGCACAUCAUCACUUAACAUGCAAGGGCUGUCCAUGGUCACUGUCUCUUUACAGUCUGAACGGUCACUGGGUCACAGAAUUCCACCGGGAA
ensembl:lncRNA novel transcript